CCAAUAGCGUAUAUUAAAGUUGUUGCAGUUAAAAAGCUCGUAGUUGAAUUUCGGGGUCAGUAGGUUGGUCGUGCCACAGGUAUGUACUGGCUUCACUGAUUCCUCCUUCUUGAAGAACUGUGAUGCCAUUAAUUUGGUGUUGCAGGGAAACAGGACUGCUACUUUGAAAAAAUUAGAGUGUUUAAAGCAGGCUAACGCUUGAAUACAUUAGCAUGGAAUAAUGAAAUAGGACGUUUGAUCCUAUUUUGUUGGUUUCUAGGGUCGACGUAAUGAUUAAUAGGGAUAGUUGGGGGCAUUAGUAUUCAAUUGUCAGAGGUGAAAUUCUUGGAUUUAUUGAAGACCAACUACUGCGAAAGCAUUUGCCAAGGAUGUUUUCAUUAAUCAAGAACGAAAGUUAGGGGAUCGAAGACGAUCAGAUACCGUCGUAGUCUUAACCAUAAACUAUGCCGACUAGGGAUCGGAUGAUGUUAAUUUUUUAAUGACUCAUUCGGCGCCUUACG
rnacentral:rRNA from 1 species